UGCUCCUGACAGACGCACAUGCAUACAGCACUCUCAAGGCACUCGCACACACAUACAACAGAAGUGGAGAUCAAAUGGUCACCGGUCAUCUGUUUUAUACGUAAGCUGUGGAGUGUAGCCGGGCGUGCCGGAGUGGCUUAAAGAAAUAUCCACACGCCACGACCAAGGGGGGUCUUUCCCCGUACGUAUGGAAUAGGUAACGGUGUGGAGAGAUAGUGUCGAUAUGCUAGAGAACCGAUUUGACAGAAUGGUGGGUCAAAUAAUGUUUUUUGUGCUGCUUUUGGGAAUGACAGGUGUAGUGACUGCUCAGGCUGUCAGACCUCUUUACCCAACAUCUGGAACUGAAUGCUCUCCGGAAGAUGAUGGAAGUUCUCCACAGAUUACCCUGCUAAGACCUUUUGUCUAUUUUGGGAGGACAUAUAACAGCAUU